ACUCCUACGGGAGGCAGCAUUGGGGAAUAUUGCACAAUGGGGGAAACCCUGAUGCAGCCAUGCCGCGUGUGUGAAGAAGGCCUUGGGUUGUAAAGCACUUUCAGUAGGGAGGAAGGUAGUGUAGUUAACACCUGCAUUAUUUGUACGUUACCUACAGAAGAAGCACCGGCUAACUCCGUGCCAGCAGCCGCGGUAAUACGGAGGGUGCGAGCGUUAAUCGGAAUUACUGGGCGUAAAGCGCAUGCAGGCGGCCUGUUAAGUCAGAUGUGAAAGCCCGGGGCUUAACCUCGGAAUUGCAUUUGAAACUGGCAGGCUAGAGUCUUGUAGAGGGGGUUAGAAUUUCAGGUGUAGCGGUGAAAUGCGUAGAGAUCUGAAGGAAUACCAGUGGCGAA
rnacentral:rRNA from 1 species